rnacentral:misc_RNA from 1 species
AAGUCGUAACAAGGUUUCCGUAGGUGAACCUGCGGAAGGAUCAUUACCAAGUUUAAUCCAAAAACACUCAACCCAUGUGCACGAUGAUUUGUCUGUCUUUGGGGUGGAAGAAUCUAGGGUUAGUUUAUAUUUAGCCCUAGUUGAUUUCACCCCACAUGUGUAAACAUCCUUUUUAUUUGUAUUGGCAUCUACUUGUCUUAAUAAAUAAUAGACAACUUUUAACGGUGGAUCUCUUGGCUCGUG